UUGUUUUCUUUAACUUACAUGUGCAACAUGUUUAUGUAAUGAUAUCUCUCUGAAUGGAAUGUAGUUUAGACAAUCAUAUACCACAAUAUUUAUUUGUUUCGUUCACCCGAGCACAAUAUACUCAUGGAGAGCUAUUGUGAUCGCCUUUUGUCCAUCGUCCGUCAUGGGUUGUGCGUCAUGCAGCGUCAACAUUUGCCUUGUUUACACUCUAGAGGCUACAUUUAUUGUUCGAUCUUGACAUGAAUUAUGGUCAGAAGAUUUGUGCCAAUUAUAUCUUGGACGAGUUCAAAAAUUGUUCAGGUUGCUUGAAAAAUAAGGCCGCCGGGGGGCCGGGCAUUUUUCCUUAUAAGGCUUAAGUAAAACCUUGUUUACACUCUAUAGGCCACUUUUAUUGUCCAAUCAUCAUGAAACUUUGUUAACAUAUUUUUUAUCCCAAUGAUAUCUUGGAAGAGUUUGAAAAUUGUUCCGGUUGGUUGAAAAACAUGACCACAAGGGGGCGGGACAUUUUUCCUUAUAUGGCUUAAGUAACACCUUGUGUACACUCUUUUGGCCACAUUUAUUGCCCAAUCAUCAUGCAGUUUGGUCAAAAGAUUUGUCCAAAUGAUAUCUUGAACGAGUUCUAAAAUGGUUCCGGAUGGUUGAAUAACAUGGCCACCAAGGGGCAGGCCGGUUUUCCUUAUAUGCAGGCCUUCCAGCAUUCGUACUUUUUCCUACUUUUUUAUAGCUUCCUACUUUUUCCUACUUUUUGCUAAACAACUCCUACUAUUCCUACUUGUUGGAAAAUAAUGUCCGCAAAAAUAAAAUAAAAUAUGAACAUUGUGCUAGUUAUAUUUGCAGAAAAUGAACAAAAUAUGUCAAACUGGCUGGUUUCUGUUGUUGAAAGAUGUGGCAAACAUGUCCCUCCCCAUGUGGAUCAUCUUUCAUCAUCAUGAAGGCUGAUAGAAGAUGACCACACAGUUCAGCAACAGAAACUGGCCAGCAUUGGUAUACAAUAAUAGUCCACAUGGCAUAAAGAAUGGUAGGGUUUUGCAUUUAGAACGCCUCCUCGGGUAAGUUAUUUGCCAUGAUUAAUUAACAAUUUAACUGAAAAUAUUCCUACUUCACCUUCUUUUUUGGAAAAAAUAUUCCUUCUAUUUCCUACUUUUGUGUCAGAAAACCUCCUACUUUUUUCCUACUUUUUUUGAGUGACUGCUGGAAGUCCUGUAUAUGGCUUUAGUUAAAACUUGUUAAAACUCUUAAGUCCACAUUUAUUGUCCGAUCUUCAUGACAUUUGGUCAGAGUUUAUGUGUCAAUGAUAUCUUGGGUGAGUUUAAAAAUGGUUCUGGUUGGUUGAAAAAUAUGGCCGCAAGGGGCGGGUUAUUUUUCCUAAUAUAGCUUAAGUAAAACCUAACACUCUAGAAAUCACAUUUAUUGUCCAAUGCCCAAUCUAGACAAAACUUUGUCAGGAUAUUUGUCUCAAUGAGGAUGAGUUCAAGUUUCCUUAUAUGGCAACCUUGUUAACGUUUUGUUAAUAUAUUUUGGAUUAGUUAAAAAAUGGUUCUGUUUUUUAUGGUCCCCGAAAAUUUUCGGGGAGCAUAUAGUUGCCAGUUUGAAGUUCCUUCCGUUCUACCUUCCUUCCGUCACACUUUUGUUACCGUUUCUCAUAGCACCAUCAAUACUUUACCGAUCUCUUUCAUAUUUGGCAUGUAGGUACCUUGCUUGGACCUCUACCUUUUGAUGAGGUUUGAGGUCAAUGGGGUCAAGGUCACCGAGGCUAAUAAUAGAUUUUUCCGUCACACUUUUGUUACAGUUUCUCAUAGCACCUUCAAUACUUUACCGAUCUCUUUCAUAUUUGGCAUGUAGGUACCUUGCAUGGACCUCUACCUUUUGAUGAGGUUUGAGGUCACUGGGGUCAAGGGCAAGGUCACAGAGGCUAAUAAUAAAUUUUUAGGUGGUUAUUAACACAUAGAUUGACAAAGCGCAUCAUCGGGUAGCAUCCAUCAGUUUCACUGAUAUUUUUGUUUUGAAAAGCAUGGCCGCCAGGGGACAGACCAUUUUUCUGAUUUGGCUAUAGUAAAACCUUGUGAAAAUCACAUUUAUAGUUAUAUCUUUGACUGACAAUUUGUUCUUAUAAUAUCUUGGGCUGCAUAAAACAGGCCAGUUCCUUGACGAGCAACAGGUGAGCAACUUUAGGCAUUUGCUCUAAAUUUGUUUAUCAAAAAUAAACAGUAAACAUGAACGUAUACGUAAAUAAUAAAACGGGAAGUUUUAUCAUCGAUUUGUCAGCCUAUUGUUAACAUAGUAAAAUGUGUCUACCUAUACCGUUUUGCCUUAAGUGUACCUAUUGUGUUUCUCAAUGAAUACCUUAACACAAGUUAUGCUUAAGUUUUUUUGGAUAUUCAGUUUCUUUAUGGUUUCGUGUGUUUUAACUAUUAUGAUAUUGCCCUUUGCAUGCAUGAAAUAAAUUAUAUAUAACAAUUA